rnacentral:rRNA from 1 species
AGCGAACGCUGGCGGCAGGCCUAACACAUGCAAGUCGAACGAAGUCUUCGGACUUAGUGGCGGACGGGUGAGUAACACGUGGGAACGUACCUUUUGGUUCGGAAUAACUGAGGGAAACUUCAGCUAAUACCGGAUAAGCUCUUCGGAGGAAAGAUUUAUCGCCAUUAGAGCGGCCCGCGUUGGAUAGGUAGUUGGUGUGGUAAAGGCGCACCAAGCCUACGAUCCAUAGCUGGUCUGAGAGGAUGAUCAGCCACACUGGGACUGAGACACGGCCCAGACUCCUACGGGAGGCAGCAGUGGGGAAUCUUGCGCAAUGGUCGAAAGACUGACGCAGCCAUGCCGCGUGAAUGAUGAAGGUCUUAGGAUUGUAAAAUUCUUUUAGCAGGGACGAUAAUGACGGUACCCGCAGAAAAAGCCCCGGCUAACUUCGUGCCAGCAGCCGCCGUAA